UACGUAGGGUGCAAGCGUUAAUCGGAAUUACUGGGCGUAAAGCGUGCGCAGGCGGCUUUGCAAGACAGAUGUGAAAUCCCCGGGCUCAACCUGGGAACUGCAUUUGUGACUGCAUGGCUUGAAUCCGGGAGAGGGAUGCGGAAUUCCAGGUGUAGCGGUGAAAUGCGUAGAUAUCUGGAGGAACACCGGUGGCGAAGGCGGCAUCCUGGACCGGCAUUGACGCUGAGGCGCGAAAGCCAGGGGAGCAAACGGG
rnacentral:rRNA from 1 species